rnacentral:rRNA from 1 species
AACGUAGGAGGCGAGCGUUAUCCGGAGUUACUGGGCGUAAAGCGUGCGCAGGCGGUUUUGUAAGUGGCUUGUGAAAGCGCCCGGCUAAACCGGGCGAGGACAGGUCAGACUGCAGGGCUGGGAUGGAACAGAGGGCUGUGGAAUUCCGGGUGUAGCGGUGAAAUGUGCAGAGAUCCGGAGGAACACCAGAGGUGAAGACGGCGGCCUGGGUUCCAAUCGACGCUGAGGCACGAAAGCGUGGGGAGCGAACGGG